rnacentral:rRNA from 1 species
CCUCCAAGCUAUGGUGAAGGCGCGGCAAACGGCUCAGUAACACGUGGCCAACCUACCCUUGGGACGGAGACAACCCCGGGAAACUGGGGCUAAUCCCCGAUAGGUGAGGAAUCCUGGAAUGGACCCUCGCCCAAAAGACGUUGAGUCCAUGCUAUUCAGCGUCGCCCAAGGACGGAGCCGCGACCGAUCAGGUAGUUGGUGAGGCAACGGCUCACCAAGCCUAUAACCGGUACGGGCCGUGAGAGCGGGAGCCCGGAGAUGGGCACUGAGACAAGGGCCCAGGCCCUACGGGGCGCAGCAGUUGCGAAAACUCCGCAAUGCGCGAAAGCGUGACGGGGCUACCCCGAGUGCCGCCCGUUGAGGGCGGCUUUUCCACGGUGUAAGGAGCCGUGGGAAUAAGGAGAGGGCAAGACUGGUGUCAGCCGCCGCGGUAAUACCAGCUCUCCGGGUGGUGGGGACGAUUAUUGGGCUUAAAGCGUUCGUAGCCGGCUUAACAAGUCUCCCGUUAAAUCCAACGAUCUAAUCGUUGGGCUGCGGGAGAUACUGUUGGGCUAGGAGGCGGGAGAAGCCGACGGUAUUCUCGGGGUAGGGGUGAAAUCCUGUAAUCCCGGGAGGACCACCAGUGGCGAAGGCGGUCGGCUAGAACGCGCUCGACGGUGAGGGACGAAAGCUGGGGGAGCGAACCGGAUUAGAAACCCGGGUAGUCCCAGCUGUAAACGAUGCGGGCUA